rnacentral:rRNA from 1 species
GAUGAGUAGGGCGGGACACGUGGUAUCCUGUCUGAAUAUGGGGGGACCAUCCUCCAAGGCUAAAUACUCCUGACUGACCGAUAGUGAACCAGUACCGUGAGGGAAAGGCGAAAAGAACCCCGGCGAGGGGAGUGAAAAAGAACCUGAAACCGUGUACGUACAAGCAGUGGGAGCACAGAGCAAUCUGUGUGACUGCGUACCUUUUGUAUAAUGGGUCAGCGACUUAUAUUCUGUAGCAAGGUUAACCGAAUAGGGGAGCCGAAGGGAAACCGAGUCUUAACUGGGCGUUAAGUUGCAGGGUAUAGACCCGAAACCCGGUGAUCUAGCCAUGGGCAGGUUGAAGGUUGGGUAACACUAACUGGAGGACCGAACCGACUAAUGUUGAAAAAUUAGCGGAUGACUUGUGGCUGGGGGUGAAAGGCCAAUCAAACCGGGAGAUAGCUGGUUCUCCCCGAAAGCUAUUUAGGUAGCGCCUCGUGAAUUCAUCUCCGGGGGUAGAGCACUGUUUCGGCAAGGGGGUCAUCCCGACUUACCAACCCGAUGCAAACUGCGAAUACCGGAGAAUGUUAUCACGGGAGACACACGGCGGGUGCUAACGUCCGUCGUGAAGAGGGAAACAACCCAGACCGCCAGCUAAGGUCCCAAAGUCAUGGUUAAGUGGGAAACGAUGUGGGAAGGCCCAGACAGCCAGGAUGUUGGCUUAGAAGCAGCCAUCAUUUAAAGAAAGCGUAAUAGCUCACUGGUCGAGUCGGCCUGCGCGGAAGAUGUAACGGGGCUAAACCAUGCACCGAAGCUGCGGCAGCGACGCUUAUGCGUUGUUGGGUAGGGGAGCGUUCUGUAAGCCUGCGAAGGUGUGCUGUGAGGCAUGCUGGAGGUAUCAGAAGUGCGAAUGCUGACAUAAGUAACGAUAAAGCGGGUGAAAAGCCCGCUCGCCGGAAGACCAAGGGUUCCUGUCCAACGUUAAUCGGGGCAGGGUGAGUCGACCCCUAAGGCGAGGCCGAAAGGCGUAGUCGAUGGGAAACAGGUUAAUAUUCCUGUACUUGGUGUUACUGCGAAGGGGGGACGGAGAAGGCUAUGUUGGCCGGGCGACGGUUGUCCCGGUUUAAGCGUGUAGGCUGGUUUUCCAGGCAAAUCCGGAAAAUCAAGGCUGAGGCGUGAUGACGAGGCACUACGGUGCUGAAGCAACAAAUGCCCUGCUUCCAGGAAAAGCCUCUAAGCAUCAGGUAACAUCAAAUCGUACCCCAAACCGACACAGGUGGUCAGGUAGAGAAUACCAAGGCGCUUGAGAGAACUCGGGUGAAGGAACUAGGCAAAAUGGUGCCGUAACUUCGGGAGAAGGCACGCUGAUAUGUAGGUGAAGUCCCUCGCGGAUGGAGCUGAAAUCAGUCGAAGAUACCAGCUGGCUGCAACUGUUUAUUAAAAACACAGCACUGUGCAAACACGAAAGUGGACGUAUACGGUGUGACGCCUGCCCGGUGC